GUCUAAGAUGAAAGAGAGCCUGUUGCACUUUUUUCCUCACUGCAGUAACUAGACACAAGUCAGCCAUAUAAAUUCCGUAUGCUGUUGAAAUGAGGAUUAAUGUGCUAGACAGUGUGGAAUGUAACUGUGGUGGAACAGCUUUCAGUGAUGUGAAAUCAUCUUCCUUGAAAAUCUAGAAGUAAUACUUCUGAAAGAAAUAACUGCAGAUUUAAGAAGCCUGUCCUCUGUUUAAAGAACUGAUACAGAAGUCUGUAUUUUUGUCUCCAAUACCAAUUUAAAAGGCUUUUAAAUAUGGAUAUGUACAUCAGAGAAGAGUAUUUUUUUAAGUCUCUCAUAAAACAACUGUUUUUUUCAGUGAAACUCAGACUUUGAAUAAUACAACUUGUCCAAGGAUAAAGAACCAUGGCAAAAUCUUGUUUAGCCAUUGGAACCCAAUUGUGUGACCGUUUCUUUUCGUUCUGCCUCCCAUCACUUCCUCCUGCUUUAUUUCUUGUGCUGCACCCACAUUUCAGAUUGAUCUCUCUUUCCAGAACUUAAUUGGCCAUUUUAUUUUUUCUUAAAUGUUCAAGUAUGUUCCAAAUUUUUUAACUUCCUUAUUCACUAGAAUAAGAUCAGGCUUCCUAUGCAAGGCCUGAGAUGAAGCUUAUUGACCUAAGUGGAGAGAAUCUUAAAGACUAUGGUUGUUACCAGGUAAUGCAAAAAGCUUUUAGUGGCCUGUAUUUUGGCCCCAGUGUAUAAUAGUGGCAUAAAUAUUCUGCA